CUUUAUCUGAUUGCCUCCGGCAUUUUCUCCAAAGCCACUUGUUUCUCAGUAGCAGAAGUAUCUUGCCCAAUUGGGAUGCAAUAAUUUCAAAGCAAGUGAAGGAAACUGCAGCUGCUCAGCUGAGUCAGCCAAAGGUGCUGGAGUCUUCUCGUGGUAUCUAGAAGCUCAGGACAGAGGAUGACACUUUUGUCAGUCUCUCCCAUUGUGUGUCCCACUCAGUGUUGUGCAGAUCCUUCUGGUUUUCCCUAUCAAAUGUGGUUCCCCAAGGAAGCAAUGUGCAAUUCAGAAAAUAUAUUUGCAGCGAGGAGAAUGGAGUUGUUAUGGAAACAUGGGAGCGAGGCAGCUGACACUGGGUAAUGCAGGCACCAGAUUCGCUGUGCGCACAGACACAUACAACAGCAAGUUCAUGUAAGGUGUUCAGCCCCCAAGUGGAUUGUCUUCUAAAGCAGGACCCUGCUGUCCUCUGUGCAAGCGGUGUUUGCUCCGCGGGGGCUCUGCCCGUGCGUGUUUAGGUGCUGUUGUCUGCUCGUGGCUGUAGGAUGGAUUUCUGCACCAACAUCUUUGGCAAAGUAGCUAAAAUUCCUGAUGCAUCCUCACGGAGAUGCUGCUUGGGUAGAAGCAGGAAUGAACGGCUC